CAUGUGCGCGAUCGAUCGUCGUCACAGUUGAAUUUGCACGCCCUCAUCUGAAUCCCCCUUUUUGUUUUUCUGAUCUCUUCUCGGUUUCGUUUUUUGUGUUUUUUUUUUCGGCUAGGUGCGUGCGUGUGUGUCUGUGUUGUGUGCUGUGUAGUGGAGCGUGUGACUGCGUGAGACUCCAUUUCUCUCCCCCCCUCCCCCGCCCGCCCUGCCAUCCUCCUCACCACAAUCACCACACAGGCCCUCGGCUUCUUCCGGCACGUUCUCUCUCCAGCGUUCACCGCCUACCGCCUCUACCCUUUCUCACCCCUCACCCCCUCCUUAGCAUUCGGGCUCCAGCUCCUCACCACUCCUAUCAUUGCUUCAAACUCAGCUCUGCUCCCCCACCCCCAUCCCUACCCCCUUCUCUCCCCUCCUCUGCUUACCUCACAGCAUUUGACGUUCGGUGCUGUUGCUCGUGCUUGUCCGCCGGCUGAUUCACCUUCUCCGUCGGUCUCUGCGAUACCGCUGCUUGGGCCGCCAUUAUCUUCGUUUUCUUCCUUAAGUCCUGUUGUGGGGUGUGCGUUAUCAACGCACAGCCAACCUUGCCACAAGGGGGCGACCGUUGACACCAGGAGAGAGAGAGAACGACCUUCUCAUCUAUGGAAGAUAAGGCUUGACUCACUGCUCAGUCUAUGCAGCCGUCUUGAUUGUCUCUGACGUUGUUUUCUGUCUCGCUCUUUUUAUCUUUCCCCCAACUCAGAAAAGCAGAACGAACGUGCGCACGCCGCAGGAGAAGUUGAAGCAGUCCGUCUGCACUCAUCCGUUCGGCUGCGAAGGUGUCUUCCACGUUGCCGCGUUGGAGCACCCCACUGUUUUUUCUUCGUGUUUUUUUUUUGGUUCGUCGCGUUCCCCGACCCUCCUUGCGCCAUCAGAAGCUUGUCUUGGAACUCCCUCAAAGAGACCUCUUACACGACAGCGACCCCCUCCCUUCCUCCGUCGUAAAGUACUGACCGCGUGCUGCGGCGCACGUAAGACACAGCCAUCAUGACCACCAUCUCCCAGUACCUCAAUGAGCGGCUGAAGGACAAAAGCCCGACGCAGGUUAUUGCCAUCACGCUCAGCGGCGCCGUCGCGGUGCGCAUCGCGGUGGACUGCUUCCGCGAUGGCCGCUUGACGGCGCGCAGCUACCAAGCGGUGUGGCGCGGCAUCCGCACUCUAGCGGCCCCCAUAAUCCGCAAGGAGGUCAAGAAAGCGGUAAGUGGGGUGAAGAUGCCGUCGAAGGAAGGCGAGUUCAAAGCCCUCGUUCUGCCGGAAAAGUCCCGCUCUGAGGCGGAGGUGUUGCAGCUGGUCACCCAGCUUCACCACGACCUUGACCUCAGCUACGAAAAAGGUUUCUUCAGUGGAGCCGUCUACCACGGUGGCCGAUCGCACACCGCCUUCAUGAACGACGUUAUGGCCAUCUUCCAGUGGAGCAACCCGCUGCACAGCGACAUCUUCGGCGCGACGCGCAAGAUGGAGGCGGAGAUUGUGUCCAUGGUGCUGCACAUGUACAAUGGCCAUUUACUUCCGGACGCCGGAGGCGUCGUGACGUCCGGAGGGACGGAGAGCAUCAUGAUGGCCCUUAAGACGUACCGCGACUGGGGACGCGUGACACGCGGGAUCGAACACCCGUCGGUGGUGGCGCCCAUCACCAUUCACCCCGCGUUCGACAAGGGGGCAGAGUACUUUGGUAUUGAUCUCAUCAAGGUGCCGGUGCUGGCGACAACCGGCCGCGUGGAUCCAAAGGAGAUGGAGAAGUACAUCCGGUACGACACGAUCGCCGUCGCGGCGUCGGCGCCAAACUUUCCGCAUGGCGUCGUCGACCCCAUCGAGGAGAUUGCGGAGAUGGCCUACAAGCACAACAUCGGCAUGCACGUCGACUGCUGCCUGGGCGGCUUCAUCAUGCCCUUCCUCGAGAAGACUGGCCGUUCGGCGCCGGUCGUGGACUUCCGCAAUCGCGGUGUCACGUCGAUCUCGUGUGACACGCACAAGUACGGCUACGCACCUAAAGGGACGUCGACGGUCAUGUACCGCUCGAAGGAGCUGCGCAGCUUCCAGUUCUGCUGUGUUUCGGAGUGGCCAGGCGGCAUGUACUGCUCGCCUGCUGUGAGUGGGUCAAAGCCAGGCAACGUGAUUGCCGGCACGUGGGCGGCGAUGGUGCGUAUGGGUAUGGAGGGCUACAUCGAUUGCUGCCACAAAAUCGUCACAACACGCGAGACGAUGACGACGGAGUUGAGCAAGCUGCCCUACAUACGCAUCAUUGGUGAGCCGACCGCGAGCGUCUUCGCCUUUACGAGCAAUGUGAUCGACAUAUUCCGUCUCGGUGACGAUCUCAAGUUACGCGGCUGGGUACUGAACACCCUCCAGUUCCCAUCCGGCUUGCAGUUUAGUGUGACGCUGCUGCAGACGCCAACGGCAGUCACGGCGCGCUUCCUGAGCGACGUGAAGGAGAUAGGGGACACCCUCUUUGCCGAGAGCGAGAAGCUUAUCGCCGAUGGAAAGAAGCCCGUACUCGGGGAGUCGAGCGGCACGCUCUACGGCACGGCACAGCGCGUUCCUGAUCGCACGAUCAUCAAGGAUGUGCUUCGCGAGUUCCUGAACACUUACUACCAAGCUUGAUGUAUGUGGCAGGAACAUGUGUGAGUUUGCCGCACCAAUGGCAGGCGACAACGCUCUGGCGUGUCUAGCUCCGGCCUCUUCGCGCAUGCGCGGAGGCGUGCGGAGAGAGAAAUGGACAGCGAGGCACCCUUCAAGAGUGAGGGCGAUUCGUACCCCUGCGCAGCUUUUUUCCUCUCUUUCUGGGCAGGGACGCGAGUGUCGACGUCACUGAAGAAGGCGACCCAUUCCCUAUGGACACGGUCGGACUGUGUAGGUGGACAACCCCCCCCCCCACCCCCGACCGACCCCUCUCAUGCACACACAGGCACGCUAACGUCGCUUCCGCUGCCCGUUCCACGUUUUUGCCUGGAUGAUCCCUCCAUCGAUCAAACCCGUGCAAACGAAACGGAGGAAAAUGGUGCGCCUUGUCGUGCUCCCGCUUCUACGCCCCACCCCCACCCCCGGCCCCUCUGAGUCUCCGCGUGCGCGCGUGUGCCUCUGCGGGGUAUCGUUCCCUAUUUGCCCUUUUCCUUUGGUGCCUGCGGCGCUCAGCUUUGCGUGUCUUCUCGUACACUUUACCGCCGCCGCCCCCCCCCCCUCCUCCUCCUCCUCCUCCGCCGCCGCCCUCUCGCCCGUCUCUUUCUCCGUUUUCUUAACCGUUCAUAGUUUUAUCGUGUAGGCUUCGUUUUCUUUUUCUUUUUUUUUUCGUUGUUGUUCUGAGCACAAGUGCGCGCACAUCCACGCUGUACGGACUGAGGCACGUGCGCUGCAGGUGUCUGUGCGCGUGGAUCUCUUCGUCUUACCGUUUUCCACCCUCUUCCCUCAUUGCAUACAAAUGUGCGAUACCUUCCCCUCUUCCCCCCUCUCUGCCUCCC
rnacentral:misc_RNA from 1 species